CCUACGGGAGGCAGCAGUGAGGAAUAUUGGUCAAUGGACGAGAGUCUGAACCAGCCAAGUAGCGUGAAGGAUGACUGCCCUAUGGGUUGUAAACUUCUUUUAUAAAGGAAUAAAACGAGGCAAGUGUGCCUUUUUGCAUGGACUUUAUGAAUAAGGAUCGGCUAACUCCGUGCCAGCAGCCGCGGUAAUACGGAGGUUCCGAGCGUUAUCCGGAUUUAUUGGGGUUAAAGGGAGCGUAGAUGGGUUGUUAAGUCAGUUGUUAAAGUUUGCGGCUCAACCGUAAAAUUGCAAUUGAUACUGGCAGUCUUGAGUACAGUUGAGGUAGGCGGAAUUCGUGGUGUAGCGGUGAAAUGCUUAGAUAGCACGAAGAACCCCGAUUGCGAAGGCAGCUUACUAAACUGUGACUGACAUUGAUGCUCGAAAGUGUGGGUAUCAAACAGGAUUAGAUACCCCAGUAGUC
rnacentral:rRNA from 1 species